UUGUUUCAUCUUAUGGUAUCACUUAUCUCCUGAAUUCUUCCCUCAUGGUCCAGUAGUUGUUUGUCUCACUUCUGCCCAGCUUCUUUAUUCCUCAUUAUUUGGUCUUCUGUAUCACUAAUUCUCUCUUCUGCCUCAUUUAUCCUAGCAGUUAGGAUAAUUGUUUUA